GUUGACGGCUACCUUGUCGAGGAAGACCCGAAGAGAUUCACAUGUGAAGAUAAGACUCCAGGGCGUAAAGACAGAAACUUCCAUCGAGAGUUUUGAAAUUCGGAGACCUCAGAGUGCAGUCUCACGGCCUCCCCGUGGGCCGUGGACGCCCUGUGCCCGGUGCACCUGAACGAUGCGGUGUGACCCCCGCGGGCCACCUCCCUCACCGGCUCUCCCUCGCGUGUGUGUUGCGUGCGUGCUCCCCUAAGGUUUGCUCGAGGUGAACACCACUUGAAAAAUCCCCGAUGCGAACUAUCACAUGGCUCGAAUUUAUUAGAGAUGCGGACCUGUGGGGGCGCCUGGGGCGGGGGGGGCGCGGCUCAGUUGGUUGAGCAUCGGACUUUGUUUGGCUCAGGUCAUGAUCUCGAUUUUGUGGGGACCCCGCGUCGGGCUCUGUGCUGACAGCUCAGAGCCUGGAACCUGCUGCGGUUUCCGUGUCUCCCUCUCUCUCUGGCCCUCCCCCCAUUCACGCUCUUUCUCUCUCAAAACUAAACAUUAAAAAAAAAGAAAUGCAGACUUGUGAAGGAAGGAUUACUGGUUUAUUAAAAUGAUAGUAAUGUAAAUUCUUUAGGAGAGUUUCAAAUGGGCUGCAGUUGUGGAAACAAGAGCGUAUUUUCAAUUAUUUCUUUCAAAAGUCUUCCCAGGGAGAGAGAGGCCAGAGGCUCUGCAAGGUGAGUGGUGGUAGUACCUCAGGGCCACCACUAGAGGAGGCUAGAGACCCACACCGGCUCCCAUAGAAAAGACUCCGGACACUUAAU